GUGAUCAAGCUACUAAGUGCAUUUGGUGAAUGCCUUGGUGCCAAGAGGCGAUGAAGGACGUAGCAAGUUGCGAUAAGCCACGGGAAGCCGCAAACAGGCGUUGAUCCGUGGAUCUCCGAAUGGGACAACCCAGCCGCUUUAAUCGGCGGUUAUCGACCGGAUGAAUUCAUAGUCCGGCGAGGCAAGACGGGGCGAAGUGAAACAUCUCAGUAACCCCAGGAAAAGAAAACGAAAUGAUUCCGUCAGUAGUGGCGAGCGAAAGCGGAACAGCCCAAACCGGGAGGACUUGUCUUCCCGGGGUAGCGGGACCUCGAUAUGGGAGGCAGCGAGUUAGCGUAACGAUUUGGAAACGUCGGCCGGAGACCGUGACAGCCGGGUGCGCGAAAACUCAAAGCCCUCUAGGGGUAUCCCAAGUAGCACGGUGCACGUGAAACUCUGUGCGAAUCCGUCCGGACCACCGGAUAAGGCUAAAUACUCCUUGGCAACCGAUAGUGAACCAGUACCGCGAGGGAAAGGUGAAAAGAACCCCUGUUAGGGGAGUGAAACAGUACCUGCAACCAAAUGCAUACAAUGUGUCGGAGCCGGGCCCAUUUGGCCUCUGGCCAAAUGGAUCGUUGAGGGUUAAUGGUUGAUAGUUGAUGGGGAAGUCGCAUGCCAUCAACACUCAACGAUCAACCAUCAACUCCAUUUGAACGGAGUUCAAAUGGGCCUGGUGACGGCCUGCCUUUUGCAUAAUGAGUCUGCGAGUUAUUGUCCAUGGCGAGCCUAAGUUGCUUUGCAACGGAGGCGAAGGGAAACCGAGUGCGAAAUGCGCGACCAGUCGUGGGCAAUAGACCCGAAGCGGAGGUGAUCUACUCUUGAGCAGGUUGAAGCCUGGGUAACACCAGGUGGAGGACCGAACUCGUGGAUGUUGAAAAAUCCUGAGAUGACUUGAGAGUAGGAGCGAAAGACUAAUCAAACCCCGUGAUAGCUGGUUCUCUCCGAAAUCGCUUGAGGGCGAGUGUUGGAUAAGUACUCAAAGGAGGUAGAGCACUGGAUGGCUUAGAGUCCCCACCAGGAUAUCAAAACCAAUCAAACUCCGAAUUCCUUUGAUCCCGGUAAUCCAGCAAUCAGGCUGCGAGGGAUAAGCUUCGUAGCCGAGAGGGCAACAGCCCAGACCGACAGCUAAGGUGCCUAAAUGUGAUUAAGUGGAAAGGAUGUGACGUUGCUUAGACAGUGAGGAUGUUGGCUUAGAGGCAGCCAUCAUUUAAACAGUGCGUAAUAGCUGACUCAUCGAGCGAUGUCGCGCCGAAAAUGAUUGGCGAUCAAAUCACAUACCGAAGCUUCGGAUUGAUGAGUUCUUCGGAGUUCAUCAGUGGUAGGAGAGCGUAAUCAGCGCGGCGAAGCCGAACGGAAACGGACGGUGGAGCGCUGAUUAGUGAGAAUGCAGACACGAGUAGCGAUAAACCAGAUGAGAAUUCUGGUCGCCGUAAACCCAAGGUUUCCUGGGCCAGGUUCGUCCUCCCAGGGUUAGUCGGGAGCUAAGACGAGGCCGUAAGGCGUAGUCGAUGCACAGCAGAUUAAUAUUCCUGCACCGCCGACAUUUAACCGCCAAGAACGCAGAGAGAAAAGUGACUAUGUCAUCGAAAGACGGAGCCCAGGCUUCGGCCAAAGCGCAUCACCGGACGAUCUGCCGAGAAAAGCUGGCGGGUAUAAUAAGGUGCCCGUACCGUAAACCGACACAGGUGGGUGAGUCGAAUAGACUAAGGCGCGCGAGAGAAACCUCUCUAAGGAACUCGGCACAUUAGCCCCGUAACUUCGGGAGAAGGGGUGCCUGAAAGCGCAGCAGCGAUGUUGCGUCUUAAGGCCACAGUAAAUUGCGUUUAGCGACUGUUUAACAAAAACACAGCUCUCUGCCAAGUCGUCAAGACGACGUAUAGGGAGUGACACGUGACCAAUGCUGAAAGAUUAAGAGAUCUUGUUAGCCGCAAGGCGAAGCUCGGUCUUUAAGUCCCAGUGAAUGUCGGCCGUAACUAUAACGGUCCUAAGGUAGCGAAAUUCCUUGUCGGGUAAGUUCCGACCUGCACGAAUCGUGUAACGACUGAACGACUGUCUCGGAGAGGAUCUCGGCGAAACUGUAACGGCGGUGAAGAUGCCGCCUGCCCGCAGUAGGACGGAAAGACCCUAUGCACCUUUACUGUAAGCUGGUAUUGUGUUCUGAUUAACGAUGCGUAGCGUAGGUGGGAGACUUUGAAACGCGGGCUUCGGUUCGCGCGGAGUCGCAAUGUGAAACACCACUCUUUGCUAAUUAGGAUUCUAACCCCGACCUGUCAGCCAGGCGGGGGACAGUGCUUGCGGGUCAGUUUGACUGGGGCGGUUUCCUCCCAAAAAGUAACGGAGGAGCGCUAAGCUUGGCUCAGCACGGUUGGCAACCGUGCGGCGAGCGUAUGGGUAGAAGCCAGGUUAACUGUGAGACCAACAAGUCGAGCAGGUGCGAAAGCAGGCCCAAAUGAUCCGGUGGUUUAAUGUGGAAUUGCCAUCGCUCAACGGACAAAAGGUACGCUAGGGAUAACAGGCUGAUCGGAUCCAAGAGUUCACAUCGACGAUCCGGUUUGGCACCUCGAUGUCGGCUCGUCGCAUCCUGGGGCUGGAGAAGGUCCCAAGGGUCCGGCUGUUCGCCGGUUAAAGCGGCACGCGAGCUGGGUUCAGAACGUCGUGAGACAGUUCGGUCCUUAUCCACUGUGGGCGCAGGAGACUUGAGGGGUUCAUUCCUUAGUACGAGAGGACCGGGAAUGACGCACUUCUGGUGUGGCAGUUGUCGCGUCAGCGGCAUCGCUGCGUAGCCAUGUGCGGAAGAGAUAAGCGCUGAAAGCAUCUAAGUGCCAAGCUCCUCCCAAGAUAUGGUCUCCCGGAGCGCAAGCUCCCUAAAGACCCCCGGCAGACUACCGGGUUGAUAGGCUGGACGUGUACGAGCCGUAAGGCUUUUAGCCGACCAGUACUAAUCGGUCGUGCGGCUUGAUCGCU
rnacentral:rRNA from 1 species